CCUACGGGAGGCUGCAGUGAGGAAUAUUGGUCAAUGGGCGUAAGCCUGAACCAGCCAAGUCGCGUGAGGGAUGAAGGUUCUAUGGAUCGUAAACCUCUUUUAUAAGGGAAUAAAGUGUGGGACGUGUCCUGUUUUGUAUGUACCUUAUGAAUAAGGAUCGGCUAACUCCGUGCCAGCAGCCGCGGUAAUACGGAGGAUCCGAGCGUUAUCCGGAUUUAUUGGGUUUAAAGGGUGCGUAGGCGGCCUUUUAAGUCAGCGGUGAAAGUCUGUGGCUCAACCAUAGAAUUGCCGUUGAAACUGGAGGGCUUGAGUAUGUAUGGGGAAGCCGGAAUGCGUGGUGUAGCGGUGAAAUGCUUAGAUAUCACGAAGAACCCCGAUUGCGAAGGCAGGCGGCCAGGGUAUGACUGACGCUGAUGCACGAAAGCGUGGGGAUCAAACAGGAUUAGAUACCCGAGUAGUC
rnacentral:rRNA from 1 species